rnacentral:rRNA from 1 species
UACGGAGGGUGCGAGCGUUGUCCGGAAUCACUGGGCGUAAAGGGCGCGUAGGUGGCCUGUGGAAGUCUGCGGUGAAAGCCCGGCGCUCAACGCCGGGUCGGCCGUGGAUACUCUCGGGCUUGAGCUUACUAGAGGCAGAUGGAAUUCCGGGUGUAGCGGUGGAAUGCGUAGAGAUCCGGAAGAACACCGGUGGCGAAGGCGGCCUGCUGGGCAGUUGCUGACACUGAGGCGCGACAGCGUGGGGAGCAAACAGG